AUUUGAUGGUAAAGGCAACUAUUGCACAACUUUUAAAAUGCUCCCAGUAUUCAUAGAGAGUUUCUCCAUCAAAUUGCUGAAUACCACAAAUUUCCUUCCUUAUAUU